rnacentral:rRNA from 1 species
GACAGAGGCCUCGAGCGUUAGGCGGAAUCACUGGGCUUAAAGCGUGUGUAGGCGGACUUCUAAGUGUCUUGUGAAAUCCCACGGCUCAACCGUGGAACUGCUGGGCAUACUGGGAGUCUUGGGCCAUUCAGGGGCGACUGGAACAAGCGGUGGAGCGGUGAAAUGCGUAGAUAUCGCUUGGAACGCCGAAGGUGAAAACAGGUCGCUGGGGAUGUGCCGACGCUGAGACACGAAAGCCAGGGGAGCAAACGGG